UAGGGAAUCUUCGGCAAUGGGGGCAACCCUGACCGAGCAACGCCGCGUGAGUGAAGAAGGUUUUCAGAUCGUAAAGCUCUGUUGUAAGAGAAGAACGUGUGUGAGAGUGGAAAGUUCACACAGUGACGGUAACUUACCAGAAAGGGACGGCUAACUACGUGCCGG
rnacentral:rRNA from 1 species